AUGCAAUUUCCAUCUGAAGAGGAAGCUUACUCCUUUUAUAACAAGUAUGCAAAAGCUAUCGGUUUUAGCAUGCGAAGAGGGAGUCAACAUAAAGUAAAGAAUUCUUCCAUGAUACAGCAACGGACAUUUACAUGCUCCCGUCAAGGAUUCCGUGCAGAAGAUAAGAGAGAGGAUUCGUUCAAUUACAGUAGGCUUGAAACACGAUGUGGUUGUGAAGCCCAUGUGAAGAUAAGUCCGAAAAGCGGAUUAUAUUAUGUCUACGAAUUUAAGGCUGCACACAACCAUAAUCUUGCCACUGGAGACAUGGCCUUAUAUUUAAGGUCCCAAAGGAAAGUGACGGAAGCACAAAUAGCAAACGCCGAGGUCGCAAAGUCCGUAGGCAUUUCGAAUAAAGCAACUAUUGAUCUUAUGGCCAAAGAAGUAUCUGGACUUCCAAAUCUUGGGUUUGCACCCGAAGAUAUGAAAAAUCGUUUGUACUCUAAGAGAACACUACAAGCAAAGAAAGGUGACGCCGGGGGAGUGUUAGAAUACAUGGAGAAGAAGGUAAAAGAAGAUGCCAAUUUUUUCUAUCCAAUUCAAAUUGAUGAGGAUGAUCUGAUAACUAAUAUAUUUUGGGCUGACUCAAAAAUGAUCUCAGACUAUACAUUAUUUGGUGAUGUCAUGUGCUUUGAUACCACAUAUAGGAAACUAGAUGAUGGGCAUCCAUUUGGUUUAAUUGUUGGGGUGAAUAAUCACAAGAAAACUACUGUCUCCCUGCCGCACUUCUCUAUGAUGAAACAACUAAAAGUUUUGGUUGACUUUCUAGAACAUUUCUUACAGCUAUGUCUGGGAAAUAUCCAAGGACAAUCCUGA
rnacentral:rRNA from 1 species